GCAGGUGAAUGCAACGUCAAGCGAUGGGCGUUGCGCUCCAUAUUGUCUUACUUCCUUUUUUGAAUUACUGCAUAGCACAUUUGAUUCGCACAAGCCGGUUAUUACCGGCUUUU
rnacentral:sRNA from 1 species